rnacentral:piRNA from 1 species
UGAUGUGAGUUAGGUUUUAUAUUGGAUGGU